GUUCGAGUUACGCUUCUGGUAUAACUUCCUAUUCUGUGCCUCGGUCUUGAAAACGUCCCUCGCCCUUCGGGCUCGGGCCGUUUUCAAGACCUCGGGCACAGUUUUUCUCAUCCGGACCUCGCAGCCGGUAAAUAACAUAUAAUAGUCUCAUUAGUCUGGAACCAUAUAGCCUGUUUAUAACUAACGAGCAAUCCUGGUUAAAUUAGUCAGGACUAUGAUCAAAUAAACCAGGAAAUUUAAGGGAAUAUUAAGUUACCCUAAACAGUGUUAAUUUUAGGUUAUACUAGCAAAUUUGUAACCAGGAUAUUUUUAGAGUGCAUGCAGCACGUGACAGUAUUAACACGUGUUGCUUUGCAAGAAUUUUAGGUCCUGUUUUUUAAAUCAGCUCAGUAAUAUACCAAUAUAUAUAAAAGAAAGUCAAAACUUAAACGCGGUUUUAUCGUUUAUCGGUGGUUUUAUAUGUCCAAUGUAAGCAGAAAUUAUUAGAGAAAGCAAAACGCUAUCAAUUUUCAAAAGGAAAAUCGCUAUACCCAUCGUUAUUAAAGUAUGGUUGUAAAUAGUAAAUUAACUUAUAUUAUAGUAAUAUUUUUUCACAUAUGCAUGUAUUUUUCUUACUACAUUUAACUUUUUUUGUAAAUUUACUUUUGUUCACACGCCCAUUAUGGAAACCAGCUUUAGCUGACAAUGUUAGCGUGGUUAAAUAAAGUUUUAUCAUCAUCAUAUGUGAUAAAAAAUCGUAUUCAUUUACAUAAACUUUAGCUUUGAUUUUCUCGGCUUAGACAAAGUUUAUUUUAAAAAUUACUUCGCCAAUUAUGUGCUCAUCAGAUGCAUUUGAUGGACCCAUGGGUCUUUUUUAUCUGAUAAAGCACUGACUCCUGCAUGCUCGUGCUUUAAAUAGUACAUAAAUGUGUUUAACGAGUGCAUGACUUAAUCGCUUUUUUAGACAAUACGACAAAGUAAUAUGGAGCAAGAAAAUCCACAAAGUGGUAACUCCUAGACUGCGAGCGGUCCCUCCUUAGUGACUCCUAGUUCGUGGUCAUUGCUAUAGUGCGUUUUGUUUUCAUUACAAUGCGUGUAUAUUUAUAUCAGUAUAUGUCCAAUUCUGAGUCCAUUAUUGGCAAAAAUCUGUACAGACUGUAGAUAGUAAGAUGAAAAAUUGAUGACGUCAACUCACCCAGUCAGAGAGUUUGCGAAUGUAAAACGUAUAAAGUAUAACUUUUGCCACUCUGAUUCGUGUCUGGUUCCACAGUAAAUAUGUUUACUUAGUUUUAGGUUAAAUUGAUUUAUAUAUAGACCGCCACCCAGCAAGUUAAUCGAAGAGUUUGGUCACCAUAUAUUUCAAGCUUGAAAGGUAUACAGUCUAUAUACACCCAACUAAUACAUCUAACGAAUGCAUAAAGUCCAUAAAUAUACUAAUUUACACACUGCAUGCAUGAAGUAUGACCAUUGUUUCAAUGAUGAAAUAGACGUAAGUUCGUGUGAAUCAUAACCAUAUUGUGUUCGUUAGCAGCUUCGACUACAAUGUCAUCAGCAACUGAUCCAGCAGGACUGGCAAUGUACUCCACGCCACUCU